rnacentral:rRNA from 1 species
CCUACGGGUGGCAGCAGUGAGGAAUAUUGGUCAAUGGGCGCGAGCCUGAACCAGCCAAGUAGCGUGAAGGAUGACUGCCCUACGGGUUGUAAACUUCUUUUAUAAAGGAAUAAAGUGAGGCACGUGUGCCUUUUUGUAUAUACUUUAUGAAUAAGGCUCGGCUAACUCCGUGCCAGCCACCGCGGUAAUACGGAGGAUCCGAGCGUUAUCCGGAUUUAUUGGGUUUAAAGGGAGCGUAGAUGGGUUGUUAAGUCAGUUGUGAAAGUUUGCGGCUCAACCGUAAAAUUGCAAUUGAUACUGGCAGCCUUGAGUACAGGUGAGGUAGGCGGAAUUCGUGGUGUAGCGGUGAAAUGCAUAGAUAUCACGAAGAACCCCGAUUGCGAAGGCAGCCUACUAAACUGCCACUGACAUUGAUGCUCGAAAGUGUGGGUAUCAAACAGGAUUAGAUACCCGGGUAGUC